GACCUGUAGAUGACUAUGGUUCUGUAAGGACUACUAUAGGAAGAAAAUAAGGGAGAAAAGUGGAUGCAUCUGGGUUCAGCUCUCUCGACUGUGUUCUACAACCUACUUGAUGGCCCAGAGGAAAAGCAGCCUAGAGGAAAAGCAACCCAGAGGAAAAGCAACCCAGAGGAAAAGCAUCCCAGAGGAAAAGCAUCCCAGAGGAAAAUAUUUUAAAUCAGCCCAGAGGAAAAGCAUCAAGAAAAGAUGCUAGAGACAAGAAACAAAGAGGAAAAGCUGAAAUGGACAGCUAAGACUUUGAACUGUAAUAAUAUUUUUAAUAAUACCAGAGACUGAAAAACUCCUUGACAUGGCAUACUAUUUGCAAAAAAUGAUUCUGCAAAAUGACACACUGCUUCAAUUUGGGCUUACUGGCAUCACAUGCAUCAUUGAUAAAGGAUAAAGAGGCUUACUGGUCUACAUGGCAGGGUAUGAUUACUCACAUAGUCUCUGGAAGUCUACCAUGUUGGAAAGACCCUGACUCCACAUGGUUUGCUGGGAUUCAUGAAAUCAAAUUGCAUGCAGAGAUCCUUGAGAGCCACCAGAUGGCAGGAGUGGUAUGUGUAGGCAUUUGUGGAGCAGAGACCUUUGAGUUGACAUCUUUUAGGGAAAAAUGCCACCGAUCCAAAUUGCUGAAGAAAAUUAAUACCGGCAAGGAAAGAUAAAGGUCCAUCAUUUUUAUAUUCAAGCAAAUAUUUGAAAUAAAACAUUUUUUCUCAAUUAUCUCUUUAAAAAU
rnacentral:lncRNA from 1 species